rnacentral:lncRNA from 1 species
UUUUAAGUUUUAGCUAAGCCAUUUAAGUUUUAGAAAAGAAAAAGAAAUAAUAAAAAUGAAAGAAAGAAAGGAAAAAGAAAUGGAAUAACAGAGCAAAAUUCAUUCUCAACAUUGGGAUUAUUGAGAUUAAAAUGAUGAAGUUAAAAUAUCAAGUAUUUGGUCCCUUGAUAAACAAGAAUAUGCACGUAGGUAUCUAUAUUAGAAACAAAAUGAGAUGCAUUUUUCUUAAUUAAUAUUACAGUUACAUUUUUGAAUAAUUUCCUUUAAUACAUUAGUAAUAAUGAUAGUUAGUUAAGAGAUAGUUGUUUUCAUGAGUGAAUAGGUAUCAUAGAAGAAGGUGAUCGUUCAAGUUAUUUUGGAAAGCUCUGAGGUAAGGGGAAUCACUAAUAAUAAGUUUCGAUGAGCACAAGAAAUGUGUUACUUGUAUAUAUAUUAUUAGUUAUAACUAG